UACCCGCAGCACAAGUGGUGGUCAUUAUUAUUGGGCCUAAAGCGUCCGUAGCUGGCUUGUUAGAUGCCUGGGUAAAUCGAUGCGCUCAACGGAUCGAAUUCCGGGUAGACCGGCAAGCUCGAGACCGGGAGAGGUGUAGGCUACUCGAGGGGUAGGGGGUAAAAAUCCUGUAAAUCCUUCGGGGGAGGACCAGUGGCGAAAGGCGCUACACUA
rnacentral:rRNA from 1 species